rnacentral:rRNA from 1 species
GACGAACGCUGGCGGCGUGCUUAACACAUGCAAGUCGAACGGUAAGGCCCUUCGGGGUACACGAGUGGCGAACGGGUGAGUAACGCGUGAGUAACCUGCCCUUCACUCUGGGAUAACAGUUGGAAACGGCUGCUAAUACCGGAUAUUCAGCUCCUGUCGCAUGGUGGGGGUUGGAAAGUUUUGGUGGUGGAGGAUGGGCUCGCGUCCUAUCAGCUUGUUGGUGGGGUGAUGGCCUACCAAGGCGUCGACGGGUAGCCGGCCUGAGAGGGCGACCGGCCACAUUGGGACUGAGAUACGGCCCAAACUCCUACGGGAGGCAGCAGUGGGGAAUAUUGCACAAUGGGCGGAAGCCUGAUGCAGCAACGCCGCGUGCGGGAUGACGGCCUUCGGGUUGUAAACCGCUUUCAGCAGGGACGAAGCGCAAGUGACGGUACCUGCAGAAGAGGCACCGGCUAACUACGUG